UACGGAGGGUGCGGGCGUUAAUCGGAAUCACUGGGCGUAAAGCGCGCGUAGGCGGCUUUUCAAGUCAGGGGUGAAAUCCCACGGCCCAACCGUGGAACUGCCUUUGAAACUGUAGAGCUUGAGUGUCGGAGAGGGUGGCGGAAUUCCAGGUGUAGGAGUGAAAUCCGUAGAUAUCUGGAGGAACACCGGUGGCGAAGGCGGCCACCUGGACGACAACUGACGCUGAGGUGCGAAAGCGUGGGUAGCAAACAGG
rnacentral:rRNA from 1 species